UACGGAGGAUCCAAGCGCUAUCCGGAUUUAUUGGGUUUAAAGGGUGCGUAGGCGGCCUAUUAAGUCAGGGGUGAAAGACGGUAGCUUAACUAUCGCAGUGCCUUUGAUACUGAUGGGCUUGAAUGUACUUGAGGUAGGCGGAAUGUGACAAGUAGCGGUGAAAUGCAUAGAUAUGUCACAGAACACCAAUUGCGAAGGCAGCUUACUAAAGUAUGAUUGACGCUGAGGCACGAAAGCGUGGGGAUCAAACAGG
rnacentral:rRNA from 1 species